AACCAGUGGUCGUUGAUGAAUUGCUCCAUGAUUUAACCACUUCCAAUAUAACCCACUUGCAACAAAUAAGAGGACAUGUGGGCGACAGUGGUAGACAGGGCGACAGUGGUACAGUGGUAGAUAAGUCGUUUAGUAAUCAGAAGGUUGCUAGUUCGAUUCCCUGUCGAAGCGUCCUUGAGCAAGACACUGAAUCCCUAAUUGCUCCUAAUGUGCAGUGUGCCAUCAGUGUAUAUGUAAAAUGUGUAUACAUUGUAAGUCGCACAUGUGUAAGUCGCUUUGGAUAAAAGCGUCUGCUAAAUGACUAAAUGUAAAUGUUCUCUGCAGGAAUCUCUUUUUCAGGAACUUCAGGUCUACAUGCAUGCCAACCAAACUGCUGCAACAACUGAUAUGUUCUCAUUGUUGUGAAGUGGCCCAUUUUACUCAUUUAACUCCAUUUAAAAGGCAGUAUUACAAUUUCGAGCUGAAAGUCUUUGCCAUUUUCACAUUAUUGUUAUCCCUACAGUAAUUUAAUCAUCAUGUACUCUAUGAGCUAGAAUAUCUUUGGUUGAUAUCUAUGGUUGGUUAAAAGGAUUAUUUCGAAAUGUUUCUUUUAAUGCUGACAGUGCAGGUCUGAAACAAUUAGUUACCAUGUUAGGCAAUAUCUGGAGCAUGAAAAAAAAACAGAGGAAGUCCAUGACCCUCCUCUGGUGUCCACCCCUAUUCCACCGGGUAUUUAACUGCCCAUGCCGUUCAGAGGUAAAAAAGAGCCUUUGCUACCUGCUGCAUCAGCGUUACUCACUCAGUCUGACACCAUGGUCCCUGCAGCACUGCUUCUGGUGCUGUGCACAUUGCCCUCCCUGGCUCAUGCUUAUUGCGUUAGAAGUCAGGAUUUACCAGAAAUGGUGCGUGCCUGCAGGGAUGGUGGGCAGUUGCACGAGGUAGGGACCAAAUGGAGGACUAAGGACUGCAUGGACUGCACCUGCGAUGCCACUGGGAUGAGCUGCUGCUCUGUUGGGGCAACUUCAAUAUCAUUUCCUGAUGACUGCAUGGAGGUGUAUGACAAGGCAAACUGCCAUCGCUAUGCGGUUAAGAAGAAUGAUCCAUCCAUCAAAUGUAUGAUUACUGGAGCAAGUGGAAAGUGAUGAAUUUGUUGCCACAUCAUCAUUUCAUUAGUAAAUCACACAACAGUAUAAUGAUUUUUGUGUCAUGCUUUGACGUUUUUGAUUGAAAAAAUUGAUAAUGUGAAUAUAAGGUCCAAAAGGUAUCACAUAUGUGAUUAAAAAUAAAGAAAUCAUUGAAAAGAAAGAAAUAGUUUCU
rnacentral:lncRNA from 1 species